UCCCGUUCCCUCCCCGCUUUGCAGCCAGACAAACGACCGUGCCGCCAAGCCUCGUACAGAAGUUCAUGGGCUUCGUCAAACGCGUGGGGUUGGAGGGGGAGCACCGGUUCAAACUGCGCCAAAAAGAUUUGUGUACAAAACCCCCGGUGGAACCAUAGAAAUAAUGAAAGGAAGAGUGAAGCUGAAAAUGGAAGGAAAACCAGCGCAACCAAGUGCAAAUAAAAGAAUUCUGUUUAAA